AUGGGAACUCCGUCGGCGACGUCGUCGGCGUCGGCGUCCCAGGGACAGGGCACGGCGGCACGCACUGCCGUUGCCGCCGUCCGCCAGCGCGCCGCUGGCCGACAGGAGCAGCCACAGCCACGAGGCCACGACGAGCAGGACUGCCGGCGACGGGUUGGUGCAGUCCCGCGAGGACCGCGCCGUGUGGGAUGCCGAGACGACGUUGCCAGAGAAGGAGUCUCCGACUACCUCACGCCCACCGCUGGCCUGCACAUUAGGUCGACGAGCCCGUACGCCAGUGUGAGCAGCCUGGGUUGCCGGGUGCUCGCUGUCCGGCAGCACACCACGGCGCGACACGGGGUGGUGGAGGCCGAGCUCACCCAGGUCGAGACCAUAUGGUGGCAGUAG
rnacentral:rRNA from 1 species